GAUGAACGCUGGCGGCGUGCCUAAUACAUGCAAGUCGAGCGAACGGACGAGGAGCUUGCUUCUUGGAUGUUAGCGGCGGACGGGUGAGUAACAUGUGGAUAACCUACCUAUAAGACGGGUAUAACUUCGGGAAACGGGCGCUUAUCGCGGAGAAUAUUUUGAAGCGCGUGGUUCAAUGGAGAGAGACGGUGGUGCUGUCACGUAUAGAUGGAUCCGCGCUGCAUUAGCUAGUUGGUAAGGUACCGGCUUAUCAAGGCAACGAUGCAUAGCCGACAUGAGAGGAUGAUCGGCCACCCUGGGAGUGAGACCCGGUCCAGAGUCCUUCGGGAGCCACCAGUAGGGAAUCGUGCGCCAGGGGCGGAAGCCUGACGGAGAAACGCCGCGUGAGUGAUGAAGGUCUUCGCAUCGUAAAACUCUGUUAUUAGGGAAGAACAGAUGUGUAAGUAACUGUGCACAUCUUGACGGUACCUAAUCAGAAAGCCACGGCUAACUACGUG
rnacentral:rRNA from 1 species